UCGAGUAGUGUCUUGGAAUGAACAUCCUCUGGAUCUUGCUGUUGAUGGGCUUCGCCCUCCUGGCGAUGGUAGGCGCCGCCCCGCAGGCCUCGGAGGAUUACCAGAAAGACCCCCUUGGUUCCUUCAGCGUCGCCCGACGACAAUAUGGCCGUCGCAGAGGUCGAUGGGGAAAAUGAAAUUGGUAAUCUUAUUAUGAACCCCUCUAACCGUAGAGAUUGAAAUAACAUGAAACAUGAUAUUACGGAUUCUAUAACUUUAUAAAGUAUAACUGUCAAACAAUAUAAACGUUUAAACUU